GACGAACGCUGGCGGCGUGCUUAACACAUGCAAGUCGAACGGAAAGGCCCUGCUUUUGUGGGGUGCUCGAGUGGCGAACGGGUGAGUAACACGUGAGUAACCUGCCCUUGACUUUGGGAUAACUUCAGGAAACUGGGGCUAAUACCGGAUAGGAGCUCCUGCUGCAUGGUGGGGGUUGGAAAGUUUCGGCGGUUGGGGAUGGACUCGCGGCUUAUCAGCUUGUUGGUGGGGUAGUGGCUUACCAAGGCUUUGACGGGUAGCCGGCCUGAGAGGGUGACCGGCGACAAUGGGCCUGAGAUACGGACCAGACGCCUACGGGAGGCAGCGGUGGGGAAUAUUGCACAAUGAGCGGAAGCCUGAGGCAGCAACGCCGCGUGCGGGAUGACGGCCUUCGGGGUGUAAACCGCUUUCGCCUGUGACGAAGCGUGAGUGACGGUAAUGGGUAAAGAAGCACCGGCUAACUACGUG
rnacentral:rRNA from 1 species